UUGAAUAUAGCUAAGUCAGGUGCCCUGUAGAGGGCUUAAUAGGGAAGUCCGGUGUAAUACCGGCGCGGUCCCGCCACUGUAAUGGGGAGCAAACCCGAAGAUAUACCACUGGGACGAGAGUCUUGGGAAGGUUUGGGAGAGCUAUGAUCCAGAGCCAGGAGAACUGCCUGUCUGAAGAUCGCCGUU
rnacentral:ncRNA from 1 species